UACGUAGGGUCCGAGCGUUGUCCGGAAUUACUGGGCGUAAAGAGCUCGUAGGUGGUUUGUCGCGUUGUUCGUGAAAACUCACAGCUCAACUGUGGGCGUGCGGGCGAUACGGGCAGACUUGAGUACUGCAGGGGAGACUGGAAUUCCUGGUGUAGCGGUGGAAUGCGCAGAUAUCAGGAGGAACACCGGUGGCGAAGGCGGGUCUCUGGGCAGUAACUGACGCUGAGGCGCGAAAGCGUGGGGGAGCAAACAGG
rnacentral:rRNA from 1 species